rnacentral:rRNA from 1 species
GACGUAGGGCGCGAGCGUUGUCCGGAUUUAUUGGGCGUAAAGAGCUCGUAGGCGGCUUGUCGCGUCGGAUGUGAAAGCCCGGGGCUUAACUCCGGGUCUGCAGUCGAUACGGGCAAACUAGAGUAUUGCAGGGGAGACUGGAAUUCCUGGUGGUAGCGGUGAAAUGCGCAGAUAUCAGGAGGAACACCGGUGGCGAAGGCGGGUCUCUGGGCAAUAACUGACGCUGAGGAGCGAAAGCGUGGGGAGCGAACAGG